rnacentral:rRNA from 1 species
AUUGAACGCUGGCGGCAUGCCCUACACAUGCAAGUCGAACGGUAACAGGUUAAGCUGACGAGUGGCGAACGGGUGAGUAAUAUAUCGGAACGUGCCCAGUCGUGGGGAUAACUGCUCGAAAGAGCAGCUAAUACCGCAUACGACCUGAGGGUGAAAGCGGGGGAUCGCAAGACCUCGCGCGAUUGGAGCGGCCGAUAUCAGAUUAGCUAGUUGGUGGGGUAAAAGCCUACCAAGGCAACGAUCUGUAGCUGGUCUGAGAGGACGACCAGCCACACUGGGACUGAGACACGGCCCAGACUCCUACGGGAGGCAGCAGUGGGGAAUUUUGGACAAUGGACGAAAGUCUGAUCCAGCCAUGCCGCGUGCGGGAAGAAGGCCUUCGGGUUGUAAACCGCUUUUGUCAGGGAAGAAAAGGUUCUGGUUAAUACCUGGGACUCAUGACGGUACCUGAAGAAUAAGCACCGGCUAACUACGUGCCAGCCGCCGCAGUAA